rnacentral:rRNA from 1 species
CCGUUGCCGGCGACCGGCGCACGGGUGAGUAACACGUAUGCAACCUGCCCGUGGCAGGGGGAGUAAGCGGGGGAAACCCCGUCUAAUACCGCGUAACGCGGCCUUGGGGCAUCCCAAGGCCGCCAAAGGGGAGCAAUCCCGGCCACGGAUGGGCAUGCGGCGCAUUAGCUAGUCGGCGGGGUAACGGCCCACCGAGGCGACGAUGCGUAGGGGUUCUGAGAGGAAGGCCCCCCACACUGGUACUGAGACACGGACCAGACUCCUACGGGAGGCAGCAG